rnacentral:misc_RNA from 1 species
GGCCAGUGUUGAGAGGCGGAGACUUGGGCAAUUGCUGGAC